GACUAAAGUGAAUGCAGAAGAGGCUGGAAUUUUCUGGACAGGUCUGAGCUGCCAGGAAACGAACAAGCAGCCUCCAGGUCUGAGCUGCUGAGCAUCCAGAAUGACCCAAGUGGCUACCUUCCAACCCUUUCCAUUACAGACUAAUAUCAAAUAUAAUCUCUAUACUCAGCUGUUUCCUUCAAUCUUCAAAAUGACAGAUAUGUAUGCAAAAGAUGCAGACUAGAAACAGUUUUAAGAUGACUAUAUGAGCUGGGUACUGUUGGGUUUUCUUUCUCACCCCUCUAUACAUACAUUGUUUAAUAUAUUUAUAUAAAUAUAUGCCAUCAUGUUUUUAUGAAAGACAACUCAUAGUCAUUACAGUGAAGUUAUGUCAUAAGUUAAUAAACCGAGAGGAGCAAACAUA